rnacentral:rRNA from 1 species
UAGCCUGCCCAAUGAAAUAAUUAAAAAGAUUUAAAUGGCCGCGGUAUUUAUGACCGUGCAAAGGUAGCAUAAUCAUUAGCCUUUUAAUUGUAGGCUUGUAUGAAUGGCUGGACAAAAGAAGGACUGUCUAUACUUUAAUAAAAAUUGAAUUUAACUUUUAAGUGAAAAGGCUUAAAUGAUUCAGUGGGACGAUAAGACCCUAUAAAACUUUAUAAAAAUAAUAGUUAGUUGAAAAUUAAAAAAUUAGCUUUUAAAAUUUAUUGGGUUGGGGUAACUUAAGUAUAAUUACUAUUAACUGCUUGAUAUAAAGACAAGAAUAUUUGAAUUGAAAUUAAAUGAUC